UACGAGUGCUCCGAGCGUUAUCCGGAAUCAUUGGGCGUAAAGGGUGUGUAGGUGGUAAUGUUAGUCUUGUGUUAAAUUCUUCGGCUCAACCGGGGGCAUGCAUGGGAAACGGUAUUACUAGAGGAUGCGAGAGGCACAUGGAACUCAUGGAGUAGGGGUGAAAUCCGUUGAUAUCAUGGGGAACACCGAAAGCGAAGGCAAUGUGCUGGCGCACUCCUGACACUGAGACACGAAAGCGUAGGUAGCGAAUGGG
rnacentral:rRNA from 1 species